UACCCUUGACAUGGUCGGAAUCCUGAAGAGAUUUAGGAGUGCUCGAAAGAGAACCGACACACAGGUGCUGCAUGGCUGUCGUCAGCUCGUGUCGUGAGAUGUUGGGUUAAGUCCCGCAACGAGCGCAACCCUUGUCAUUAGUUGCUACGAAAGGGCACUCUAAUGAGACUGCCGGUGACAAACCGGAGGAAGGUGGGGAUGACGUCAAGUCCUCAUGGCCCUUAUGGGUAGGGCUUCACACGUCAUACAAUGGUACAUACAGAGGGCUGCCAACCCGCGAGGGGGAGCUAAUCCCAGAAAGUGUAUCGUAGUCCGGAUUGUAGUCUGCAACUCGACUACAUGAAGUUGGAAUCGCUAGUAAUCGCGGAUCAGCAUGUCGCGGUGAAUACGUUCCCGGGUCUUGUACACACCGCCCGUCACACCAUGGGAGCGGGUUUUACCAGAAGUGGGUAGCCUAACCGCAAGGAGGGCGCUUACCACGGUAGGAUUCGUGACUGGGGUGAAGUCGUAACAAGGUAGGCGUAGUGCU
rnacentral:rRNA from 1 species